rnacentral:rRNA from 1 species
GCAUAUCAAUAAGCGGAGGAAAAGAAACCAACAGGGAUUGCCCUAGUAACGGCGAGUGAAGCGGCAACAGCUCAAAUUUGAAAUCUGGCUCUCGGGCCCGAGUUGUAAUUUGUAGAGGAUACUUUUGAUGCGGUGCCUUCCGAGUUCCCUGGAACGGGACGCCAUAGAGGGUGAGAGCCCCGUCUGGUUGGAUGCCAAAUCUCUGUAAAGUUCCUUCGACGAGUCGAGUAGUUUGGGAAUGCUGCUCUAAAUGGGAGGUAUAUGUCUUCUAAAGCUAAAUAUUGGCCAGAGACCGAUAGCGCACAAGUAGAGUGAUCGAAAGAUGAAAAGCACUUUGAAAAGAGAGUUAAAAAGUACGUGAAAUUGUUGAAAGGGAAGCGUUUAUGACCAGACUUGGACUUGGUUAAUCAUCUGGGGUUCUCCCCAGUGCACUUUUCCAGUUCAGGCCAGCAUCAGUUUUCGCCGGGGGAUAAAGGCAGCGGGAAUGUGGCUCUCUUCGGGGAGUGUUAUAGCCCGUUGUGUAAUACCCUGGUGGGGACUGAGGUUCGCGCUUCUGCAAGGAUGCUGGCGUAAUGGUCAUCAACGACCCGUCUUGAAACACGGACCAAGGAGUCGUCUUCGUAUGCGAGUGUUCGGGUGUCAAACCCCUACGCGUAAUGAAAGUGAACGCAGGUGAGAGCUUCGGCGCAUCAUCGACCGAUCCUGAUGUUCUCGGAUGGAUUUGAGUAAGAGCAUACGGGGCCGGACCCGAAAGAAGGUGAACUAUGCCUGUAUAGGGUGAAGCCAGAGGAAACUCUGGUGGAGGCUCGCAGCGGUUCUGACGUGCAAAUCGAUCGUCAAAUAUGGGCAUGGGGGGCGAAAGACUAAUCGAACCUUCUAGUAGCUGGUUUCCGCCGAAG